rnacentral:rRNA from 1 species
UACAGAGGUCUCAAGCGUUGUUCGGAUUCAUUGGGCGUAAAGGGUGCGUAGGCGGCGCGGUAAGUCGGGUGUGAAAUCUCGGAGCUUAACUCCGAAACUGCAUUCGAUACUGCCGUGCUUGAGGACUGGAGAGGAGACUGGAAUUUACGGUGUAGGGGUGAAAUGCGUAGAUAUCGUAAGGAAGACCAGUGGCGAAGGCGGGUCUCUGGACAGUUCCUGACGCUGAGGCACGAAGGUCAGGGGAGCAAACGGG